rnacentral:rRNA from 1 species
AGUGAACGCUGGCGGUAGGCCUAACACAUGCAAGUCGAACGGCAGCACAGUAAGAGCUUGCUCUUACGGGUGGCGAGUGGCGGACGGGUGAGGAAUACAUCGGAAUCUACUUUUUCGUGGGGGAUAACGUAGGGAAACUUACGCUAAUACCGCAUACGACCUACGGGUGAAAGCAGGGGAUCUUCGGACCUUGCGCGAUUGAAUGAGCCGAUGUCGGAUUAGCUAGUUGGCGGGGUAAAGGCCCACCAAGGCGACGAUCCGUAGCUGGUCUGAGAGGAUGAUCAGCCACACUGGAAAUGAGACACGGUCCAGACUCCUACGGGAGGCAGCAGUGGGGAAUAUUGGACAAUGGGCGCAAGCCUGAUCCAGCCAUACCGCGUGGGUGAAGAAGGCCUUUGGGUUGUAAAGCCCUUUUGUUGGGAAAGAAAAGCAGCAGGUUAAUACCCCGCUGUUCUGACGGUACCCAAAGAAUAAGCACCGGCUAACUUCGUG